rnacentral:lncRNA from 1 species
CAAGUAUCUACAUGAAUCAAUUGAAAAGGUCUAGAUGUACUAGUAGUGCUUUCAGGAAAGGGAAGCCUAGUUUGCCUGGCCAUAGGACAGGUAGAACAUUGAAAAGGCUGUUUAGAAGCAAAUGGAAAAGGUAAAACAGAAAUGUAUUUCAUAUUCACAAAGGUAUAUGAUCCAACCUUAAAUGCCAAAUGUAAUUCAUGUCUGUGGUAACAGUAUUAUUACACAUGGAACUGUUUACAUUCAAAGGCAAACCAACAGCUUGAUUACUAGAAUAGGCAUGUUUACAAGAAGUAGAAGAAGAAGAGCAUACAGAAACAGAAGAACCACAAUUAGAAGAAGAUGAAGGUGGCACCCAAACAAGCUUGUACUACAGAAACAGAUUUGCAACAAUUAGAAGAAGAAUGUGAAGGUGGCACCCAAGCAAACUUGUACAGACCACCCUCCUCUUUACCAAGAUCCAGAGGCAUCCUCAGAGAAGGGGCCUGUAACAAGUGAAUUAAACAGGAAGUUGCAGUGAACAGUACUAUACAAUGCAACUGUUGCACUAACUUGUGGACAGAAAUCAAGUUAUGUUUGAAAGAAGGAACAAGUAGGACAUUAUGAAGAGUGAUGAAUGAAUUUAAUGCAAAAGAUCAUGUACAUGUUACUUUCACUUUAUAUCUAUUGGGAAUAGUAACAAGAUAGGGUACAGUUAAAGGAAUGAGAUUAAAGAGUAAAUCUUUAUUAAAAGUCAUAUGGUUAGAUGCUCCGGAGUCUAUUAUCCAGGUUGUAGAAUUAAUGUGAGUUAACAUGCAAAAUUUGGAAUCAGAAGCAGGGCUCUCAGUUAGCAUAGUACCAGCAAAAUUGGCAGCAUACAUGGGAUGAGGAGUCUGAGUAGUGGAGUUCCCUAGCUGGGUCUGUUUUAACAAGCUCAUCAAUUGGUCAUACUGUUGUCUGCU